GACGAACCGAGCGAACGUUGUUCGGAAUCACUGGGCUUAAAGCGUGUGUAGGCGGAUCGUUAAGUGCCUUGUGAAAUCCCACGGCUCAACCGUGGAACUGCUUGGCAUACUGGCGGUCUUGAGCAACCUAGGGGCGAGCGGAACAAAUGGUGGAGCGGUGAAAUGCGUAGAUAUCAUUUGGAACGCCAAUGGUGAAAACAGCUCGCUGGGGGUUUGCUGACGCUGAGACACGAAAGCCAGGGGAGCAAACGGG
rnacentral:rRNA from 1 species